rnacentral:rRNA from 1 species
UAGCUAGUUGGUGAGGUAAAGGCUUACCAAGGCGACGAUCUGUAGCGGGUCUGAGAGGAUGAUCCGCCACACUGGAACUGAGACACGGUCCAGACUCCUACGGGAGGCAGCAGUGGGGAAUUUUGGACAAUGGGGGCAACCCUGAUCCAGCCAUGCCGCGUGAGUGAAGAAGGCCUUCGGGUUGUAAAGCUCUUUCGGCCGGGAAGAAAUCGCAUGGGCCAAUACCCUGUGUGGAUGACGGUACCGGAAUAAGAAGCACCGGCUAACUACGUGCCAGCAGCCGCGGUAAUACGUAGGGUGCGAGCGUUAAUCGGAAUUACUGGGCGUAAAGCGUGCGCAGGCGGUUUUGUAAGACAGGCGUGAAAUCCCCGGGCUUAACCUGGGAACUGCGUUUGUGACUGCAAGGCUAGAGUACGGCAGAGGGGGGUGGAAUUCCACGUGUAGCAGUGAAAUGCGUAGAGAUGUGGAGGAACACCAAUGGCGAAGGCAGCCCCCUGGGUCGAUACUGACGCUCAUGCACGAAAGCGUGGGUAGCAAACAGGAUUAGAUACCCUGGUAGUCCACGCCCUAAACUAUGUCAACUAGGUGUUGGGUGGGUAAAACCAUUUAGUACCGUAGCUAACGCGUGAAGUUGACCGCCUGGGGAGUACGGCCGCAAGGUUAAAACUCAAAGGAAUUGACGGGGACCCGCACAAGCGGUGGAUGAUGUGGAUUAAUUCGAUGCAACGCGAAAAACCUUACCUACCCUUGACAUGCCAGGAACUUGCCAGAGAUGGCUUGGUGCCCGAAAGGGAGCCUGGACACAGGUGCUGCAUGGCUGUCGUCAGCUCGUGUCGUGAGAUGUUGGGUUAAGUCCCGCAACGAGCGCAACCCUUGUCGUUAAUUGCCAUCAUUUAGUUGGGCACUUUAACGAGACUGCCGGUGACAAACCGGAGGAAGGUGGGGAUGACGUCAAGUCCUCAUGGCCCUUAUGGGUAGGGCUUCACACGUCAUACAAUGGUCGGUACAAAGGGUUGCCAAGCCGCGAGGCGGAGCCAAUCCCAGAAAGCCGAUCGUAGUCCGGGUUGCAGGCUGCAACUCGCCUGCAUGAAGUCGGAAUCGCUAGUAAUCGUGGAUCAGCAUGUCACGGUGAAUACGUUCCCGGGUCUUGUACACACCGCCCGUCACACCAUGGGAGCGGGUUCCGCCAGAAGUAGGUAGCCUAACCGCAAGGGGGGCGCUUACCACGGCGGGGUUCGUGACUGGGGUGAAGUCGGAACAAGGUAGCCGUAGGGGAACCUGCGGCUG